rnacentral:rRNA from 1 species
CCUACGGGUGGCAGCAGUGAGGAAUAUUGGUCAAUGGGCGUGAGCCUGAACCAGCCAAGUAGCGUGAAGGAUGACUGUUCUAUGGGUCGUAAACCUCUUUUAUAAAGGAAUAAAGUGAGGCACGUGUGCUUUUUUGUAUGUACUUUAUGAAUAAGGAUCGGCUAACUCCGUGCCAGCAGCCGCGGUAAUACGGAGGAUCCGAGCGUUAUCCGGAUUUAUUGGGUUUAAAGGGUGCGUAGGUGGGUUGUUAAGUCAGUGGUGAAAGUCUGUGGCUCAACCAUAGAAUUGCCGUUGAUACUGGGAGGCGUGAGUAUGUUUGAGGUAGGCGGAAUGCGUGGUGUAGCGGUGAAAUGCUUAGAUAUCACGCAGAACCCCGAUUGCGAAGGCAGCUUGCUAAGCUAUGACUGACGUUGAUGCACGAAAGUGUGGGUAUCAAACAGGAUUAGAUACCCCAGUAGUC